rnacentral:misc_RNA from 1 species
GAUGAAGAACGUAGCGAAAUGCGAUAAGUAAUGUGAAUUGCAGAAUUCAGUGAAUCAUCGAAUCUUUGAACGCACAUUGCGCCCCCUGGUAUUCCGGGGGGCAUGCCUGUCCGAGCGUCAUUACAACCCUCAAGCUCAGCUUGGUGUUGGGCCCCGCCGCCCCGGCGGGCCCUAAAGUCAGUGGCGGUGCCGUCCGGCUCCGAGCGUAGUAAUUCUUCUCGCUCUGGAGGUCCGGUCGUGUGCUCGCCAGCAACCCCCCAUCUUUAUAAUGAUUGACCUCGGAUCAGGUAGGGAUACCCGCUGAACUUAAGCAUAUCAAUAAGCGGAGGA